CCUACGGGGGGCAGCAGUGGGGGAUAUUGCACAAUGGGGGGAACCCUGAUGCAGCGACGCCGCGUGGGUGAAGAAGCGCCUCGGCGCGUAAAGCCCUGUCAGCAGGGAAGAAAAUGACGGUACCUGAAGAAGAAGCCCCGGCUAACUACGUGCCAGCAGCCGCGGGAAUACGUAGGGGGCAAGCGUUAUCCGGCUUUACUGGGUGUAAAGGGGGCGCAGACGGCGAUGCAAGCCAGGAGUGAAAGCCCGGGGCCCAACCCCGGGACUGCUCUUGGAAAUGCGUGGCUGGAGUGCAGGAGGGGCAGGCGGAAUUCCUGGUGUAGCGGUGAAAUGCGUAGAGAUCAGGAGGAACACCGGUGGCGAAGGCGGCCUGCUGGACUGCAACUGACGUUGAGGCCCGAAAGCGUGGGGAGCAAACAGGAUUAGAUACCCCGGUAGUC
rnacentral:rRNA from 1 species